UAGGCCCACAGUAAUAACAGAUAAUCCCAUCAUCUGAAUAUUUAGAUUACAGCACACAUCAAGUAGGAGAAUUGUUUUCUAUUAUUUUUGGAUUGUGAGUUCCAGGUAGAAAAAUGUGUCAUAAGAUAAUCAGGACACUGGAAACUUUAUUUUACUAUAAAAAUAUAUUAUAAAGAAUUAUUACCUGGGGUCUCAGCAGAUAAAUGUAUAAAUACAUUCUCUUUCCAAACAACAGGAGUUGUGCAACUGUUCCUGGUAGAAUAAUAUCCCUCUUUCUUCAUCAGCCACACCUGGGGAAGGUGUCAGCCCAUAUAGACAGAUAAAAACAUAAGACCUGCCACCAUUAGAGAAAACAGAGCUUCUCCUACUGUGAAGCAGCAGAGGAUGGUGCUUUUGUAAUGUACUUUUUGUGGGAGUAGAGAUCUUGCCCACAUCCCUACAGUGUUUUGAUGGUUGGGUUUGUUUUCACUCUAGUCGGUGACAGGACUCAGUUCAUGUCAAAAGUACUAAGAGUUAUUGUUUGCAUUUAGUAACAAUGGGUUUGAUUUAUUACUAUAUAAAGAGGUCUGUGGCCACCUGUGUCACCACAGCUGUUAGUAACUACUGUGAAAAAAACCCUAUUUUCUUAAUCUCUCUUGUAUCAUUUAAUCAGGUGAUCCUGGGUAAUUUUCUAAUGAUUCAGUGAUUUAAUUUUUAUGGUGACGCCCAGUUUCAGAGAGGACAAAUAAUUCCUGUGAUGUAUGCAGAGGAUUUCUGACAGACUUGGUCUAAGAACUCAGUUUUGGUAGAAUGCAAAACUGCAAUGCAUCAAUCAGUCUACUCAUCACUGCGAGCGUGUAGACAGUUUCUUAAUUGCUGUAAAUGAAUACCUCUGGCAAUUUGCCUCUGACUUACAAAAAUGAUACAUUAGGCCUAAAGGUAAAAUACUGUCUUUUUAAAGAGAUAUUUUAUUUAUGAAGUUAAGUAAAAUAAAAUGUAAAUGUUAAAAUUAAAAACAUAAUUAUUGAAUGUGUAAUCAGAUCUGAUAUCUAAUGAGAACAAGCACUUCUCUGUGAUAAAGCCUUUUGUAAUAGGAGCUCAUAAAAAGAGUACAAAUACCUAUUAAUAGGUAAAAACAUAUGUUCCAUACACUAAAGCAUACCUGGCCUCUUUCUCUGACAAAUAUUCUCAUUAAGGAAACCUGUAGACAUGAUGUCUCCAGCAUCAGUCCAGCUUUUGGCACAGUCCCCAGAGAAAGAGAGAUGUUCUGUGGUUGGAAUUCAUUCAUUUUGUGCCAUUUGAGCAACGCAAAGUAGGCAGGUAGAACAAUCCAUCCUUCGCUUAACGCAAAAAUGGACAGCAACUGUUAAAGAACUUAUUCCCUUUUCUACAAUUCAGGCACCUGAGUUUGCCAUCUCAAAAACCUAUGACCAUCAUAAAAGUCAGUGCUGAUUCUCUGUUUACUUCAUUCUUAAUGCAGUAAUAGAAAUAUAAUUCCUAUAGAAAUCAAUACAGUUUGUAUCACUGGCCCUCAGUAAGAGUUGGAUUGUGUGCCUGGCUGUUUUAGUGAUAAGAAUCACUACUUGCUUAUGAAAACCACAGCAGGUUCUUGAAAUAAAGAAUGCUGCAGUUCAAGAUAAUUGAGUACAAGAGAACCUUUUCUUGAAUGAGAAAUUCAUAAGCUUUAGCUGGCUACAAAAUCUGUCUCUGCUCUGUCAUGCUGCAGAGUAUACGAAUUUUGGUAUGAGGUUCACUGUGAAAUUACUGCACAGCCUGUGACUGACAGUAAUUAUAAACUCUCCAUUUCUUUUGUUAUUUUAGCAUGUUAUUUAUUUCAAGGAAAGAAGAACAGGAAACUAGAAGGAUGAUGAAUAUAAACCACUAUUGUGAGUAGAAAAUGUGAAGUGCAAUAACAUGAGGAGCAGGCAUACUAAAGAUAUUGCUCUAAAUUUCAAUAUCAAGGUCCAUUUCCGAUUUUCAAGGUCAAUAAGAUCAUGUGUUCUGAAAUCCCUUUUGCUCUUUGCAGAAGUUACUCUUUUGCUUAGUUAUCUGUUCUGGAGUUUUCCACAAUAAUUAAUGAUCUCGUUUUGGCAAUCACAGCUGUUUUUAAAUACACACAGUUUCUGUAAAUUGCUUAAUUUUGAAUGACUAUCAAAUUCCCCACCCACAGAAAUCUGCUGUCAUGUUAUUAAACUGUUUUUUGACGU